GACGAACGCUGGCGGCGUGCUUAACACAUGCAAGUCGAACGGAAAGGCCCUGCUUUUGUGGGGUGCUCGAGUGGCGAACGGGUGAGUAACACGUGAGUAACCUGCCCUUGACUUUGGGAUAACUUCAGGAAACUGGGGCUAAUACCGGAUAGGAGCUCCUGCUGCAUGGUGGGGGUUGGAAAGUUUCGGCGGUUGGGGAUGGACUCGCGGCUUAUCAGCUUGUUUGUGGGGUAGUGGCUUACCAAGGCUUUGACGGGUAGCCGGCAUGAGAGGGUGACCGGCCACAUUGGGACUGAGAUACGGACCAGACUCCUACGGGAGGCAGCAGUGGGGAAUCUUGCACAAUGGGCGGAAGCCUGAUGCAGCAACGCCGCGUGCGGGAUGACGGCCUUCGGGUUGUAAACCGCUUUCGCCUGUGACGAAGCGUGAGUGACGGUAAUGGGUAAAGAAGCACCGGCUAACUACGUG
rnacentral:rRNA from 1 species